rnacentral:rRNA from 1 species
AUGGCCGCGGCGGUCACUCGCAGAGUCAACGCCCUCCGAGUCGAGGUGCCGGAUGGCAACGCUGACACCGCAAACGCGCCCGCGGCCAAGCGGAUUCUCGACGCCAAGGACGACGUGUGGGUGUCCGCGGACGAUGGAACCAGUGCCGGCAACGGCAACCAGCCGCUGCUGUUCCGUACCAUGAAGGUUAAGGGAAGCAUCCUGCAUCCUUACAGGUUCUUGAUUCUCGUGCGCUUGGUCGCCGUUGCCGCCUUCUUCGCAUGGCGCCUGGAGCACAGGAACCACGAUGGCACGUGGCUGUGGGCCACGUCAAUGGUAGCGGACGCCUGGUUCGGCUUCUCAUGGCUCCUCAACCAGCUCACCAAGCUCAACCCCAUCAAGCGUGUCCCCGACCUCGCCACCCUCGCGGACCAGCACGGCGAGGCCAUCCUCCCGGGGAUCGACGUCUUCGUCACCACUGCCGACCCUGUGGACGAACCCGUCCUUUACACCGUUAACACCGUCCUCUCUAUCCUCGCCGCCGACUACCCCAUCGACAAGUACGCCUGCUACCUCUCAGAUGACGGUGGCACGCUGGUGCACUACGAGGCGAUGACCCAAGUGGCCAGUUUCGCUGCGUUGUGGGCCCCGUUCUGCCGGAAGCAUUGCGUCGAGCCAAGGUCCCCAGAGAACUACUUUGGGAUGAAAGCACAGCCGUAUGCCGGGAGUAUGCCGGGAGACUUCACGAGGGAUCGUAGGCGUGUGCGCAGAGAAUACGACGAGUUCAUGGUGAGAAUAGAUUCCCUUUCUACAACCAUCCGCCAACGGUCCGAUGCAUACAACAAUGGAGAUGGUGUACAUGCCACUCGGAUGGCCGAUGGGGCACCAUGGCCGGGUACAUGGAUUGAGCAAGCUGAGAACCAUCGAAGAGCACAACAUGCUGGGAUUGUUCAGGUCAUACUAGAACAUCCAGGUUGUAAACCGCAGCUUGGAUCAUCGGCGAGCACCGACAAUCCCUUUGACUUCAACAACGUUGAUAUGAGACUCCCGAUGCUUGUCUACAUAUCCCGGGAGAAGCGGCUUGGUUAUGACAACCAAAAGAAGGCAGGCGCCAUGAACGCCAUGCUCCGUAUCUCGGCGUUGCUCUCCAACGCGCCCUUCAUAAUUAACUUUGACUGCGACCACUACAUCAACAAUUCGAAAGCUCUUCGUGCCCCUAUGUGCUUCAUGCUCGACCCUCGUGACGGUCAGAACACGGCCUUCGUCCAAUUCCCACAACGCUUUGACGACGUCGACCCGACAGAUCGCUACGCCAACCACAACCGUGUCUUCUUCGACGGCACCAUGCUCGCGCUCAACGGUCUCCAAGGGCCUUCCUACCUUGGCACUGGCACGAUGUUCCGCCGUGUCACACUCUACGGCAUGGAGCCGCCACGUUAUCGGGUGGAGAACAUUAAGCUUGUAGAUAAUGCACAUGAGUUCGGUAACUCGACAUCGUUCACGAACUCGAUGCCGGAUGGCGCGAUCCAAGAGCGAUCUAUCACCCCAGUGUUGGUCGACGAGGGGCUCAUCAAUGACUUGGCCACCCUGAUCACAUGCGCUUACGAGGACGGGAGUUCAUGGGGGAGAGACAUCGGGUGGGUGUACAACAUUGCGACGGAGGACGUGGUGACUGGAUUCCGCAUUCACCGCCAAGGGUGGCGUUCCAUGUAUUGCUCCAUGGAGCCGGCCGCGUUCCGUGGGACGGCUCCGAUCAACCUCACCGAGCGCCUCUACCAGGUGCUCCGGUGGUCCGGCGGCUCCCUUGAGGUGUUCUUCUCCCACAACAAUGCCCUCAUAGCUGGCCGCCGGCUCCACCCUCUACAACGCAUUGCCUACUUCAACAUGUCGACGUACCCGAUCGUCACGGUGUUCAUCCUGGCCUACAACUUCUUCCCGGUCAUGUGGCUCUUCUCCGAGCAGUUGUACAUCCAGAGGCCGUUUGGCACGUACAUCGCGUACCUCGUCGCCGUCAUAGCGAUGAUGCACGUGAUCGGCAUGUUCGAGGUUAAAUGGGCGGGGAUCACGCUGCUCGACUGGUGCCGCAACGAGCAGUUCUACUUGAUCGCAGCGACCGGCGUGUACCCGACAGCCGUGCUGUACAUGGCGUUGAAGCUCGUGACGGGUAAGGGGAUGCACUUCAGGCUCACAUCCAAGCAGACGGAGGCCUGCUCCCGCGACAAGUUCGCCAACCUGUACACGGUGCGAUGGGUGCCGCUGCUGAUCCCGACCACCGCGGUGCUCGUUGUGAACGUCGCGGCCGUCGGGGCGGCCAUCGGCAAGGCGGCGGCAUGGGGAUUUUCUACGGACCAGGCGCGGCACGUGCUGCUCGGGAUGGUGUUCAACGUGGGGACCCUCAUGCUCCUCUACCCGUUUGCACUCGGCAUCAUGGGGAAACGGGGGAAGACACCCGUCAUCCUAUUCGUCCUGCUGCUCAUGGCCAUUGCCGCCGUCGGGCUCUUGUAUGUCACGCUCUACGCCCCGUACCCGCAAGAAUCUCUGACGUUUCUCUCUUGGUAA